rnacentral:tRNA from 1 species
GAUUAAAUGGCUGAAUUUUAGGUAAUAGACUGUAAAUCUAUCAAUGAGAAUUAUUUCUCUUUAAUCA